AACGAACGCUGGCGGCAUGCCUAACACAUGCAAGUCGAACGAGACCUUCGGGUCUAGUGGCGCACGGGUGCGUAACGCGUGGGAACCUGCCCUUAGGUUCGGAAUAACUCCCCGAAAGGGGUGCUAAUACCGGAUAAUGUCUUCGGACCAAAGAUUUAUCGCCUUUGGAUGGGCCCGCGUUGGAUUAGCUAGUUGGUAGGGUAAAAGCCUACCAAGGCGACGAUCCAUAGCUGGUCUGAGAGGAUGAUCAGCCACACUGGGACUGAGACACGGCCCAGACUCCUCGGGGGGGCAGCAGUGGGGAAUAUGGGACAAGGGGGGAAAGCCUGACCCAGAAAUGCCGCGUGAGUGAGGAAGGCCUUAGGUUUUAAAAGCUUUUUUCCCCGGGAUGAUAAUGGCAGAACCGGGAGAAUAAGCCCGGGAAAACCCCGG
rnacentral:rRNA from 1 species